GAUGAACGCUGGCGGCGUGCCUAAUACAUGCAAGUCGAGCGAAUGGAUUAAGAGCUUGCUCUUAUGAAGUUAGCGGCGGACGGGUGAGUAACACGUGGGUAACCUGCCCAUAAGACUGGGAUAACUCCGGGAAACCGGGGCUAAUACCGGAUAACAUUUUGAACCGCAUGGUUCGAAAUUGAAAGGCGGCUUCGGCUGUCACUUAUGGAUGGACCCGCGUCGCAUUAGCUAGUUGGUGAGGUAACGGCUCACCAAGGCAACGAUGCGUAGCCGACCGGAGAGGGUGAUCGGCCACACUGGGACUGAGACACGGCCCAGACUCCUACGGGAGGCAGCAGUAGGGAAUCUUCCGCAAUGGACGAAAGUCUGACGGAGCAACGCCGCGUGAGUGAUGAAGGCUUUCGGGUCGUAAAACUCUGUUGUUAGGGAAGAACAAGUGCUAGUUGAAUAAGCUGGCACCUUGACGGUACCUAACCAGAAAGCCACGGCUAACUACGUGCCAGCAGUCGCGUAA
rnacentral:rRNA from 1 species